UACGAGGGGGGCAAGCGUUGUCCGGAAUCAUUGGGCGUAAAGCGCGUGUAGGCGGCCCGGUAAGUCCGCUGUGAAAGUCGGGGGCUCAACCCUCGAAAGCCGGUGGAUACUGUCGGGCUCGAGUGCGGAAGAGGCGAGUGGAAUUCCUGGUGUAGCGGUGAAAUGCGCAGAUAUCAGGAGGAACACCGAUUGCGAAGGCAGCUCGCUGGGACGUUACUGACGCUGAGACGCGAAAGCGUGGGGAGCAAACAGG
rnacentral:rRNA from 1 species